AUGGACUGGUACGCGUGGCUGGCGAAGGCGGGGCUGACGCCGGCGGCGACGUACGAGUACGGGCUGCUCUUCAGCGAGAACGAGCUGGAGCCGGGCGACGCGCCGGACUUCGACCACGACCUGCUCAAGAGCAUGGGCAUCGCCGUCGCCAAGCACCGCCUCGAGAUCCUCAAGCUCGCCAGGAAGGACGCCGCCGCCGCCGCCGCCGCGUCCCACUCCUCCUCCUCCGCGGCCGCCCGGCUCGCGCGCAGGGCCGGCAGGUGCAUCGUGCGGUGCGCGCGCCGGCUGGGCGGCGGGGGCGCCGGCGGGAGGCGGUACUCCUCGUCCUCGGUCACCGUGGUGCCGAGGAUCUGCAACGGCGCGGCGGGGGACGUCGUGGUCCGCGCCGGCGCCGUGCGGCGGAGGAGCAGCGUCAAGAAGAUGGUGCUCAUGAUCACCGACGGCGGCGUCGGCGCCGGCGCCGGCGUCCGGUUCUCCGGGUCGCAGAAGGCCAGCCUCAUGUUCCAGGACUGCGCGUACGAGGACGAGGAGGAGGACGGGGAGCGGUGCUCCGACGGCGGCACGGCCGGCGGCGAGAGCGAGAUCAAGUGGGACUCCAUGUUCCAGGACCUCAAGCCGACGUGA
rnacentral:rRNA from 1 species